UACGGAGGAUGCAAGCGUUAUCCGGAUUCAUUGGGUUUAAAGGGUGCGCAGGUUGUUUGAUAAGUCAGUGGUGAAAGUCUGUCGCUUAACGGUAGGAUUGCCAUUGAUACUGUUAGACUUGAAUAUGGAUGAGGUAGGCGGAAUGUGUAGUGUAGCGGUGAAAUGCAUAGAUAUUACACAGAACACCGAUUGCGAAGGCAGCUUACUAAUCCAUCAUUGACGCUGAGGCACGAAAGCGUGGGGAUCAAACA
rnacentral:rRNA from 1 species